AUUGAACGCUGGCGGAAUGCUUUACACAUGCAAGUCGAACGGCAGCACGGACUUCGGUCUGGUGGCGAGUGGCGAACGGGUGAGUAAUGUAUCGGAACGUGCCCAGUCGUGGGGGAUAACGUAGUGAAAAUUACGCUAAUACCGCAUACGAUCUAUGGAUGAAAGCGGGGGAUGGCAAGACCUCGCGCGAUUGGAGCGGCGGAUAUCAGAUUAGGUGGUUGUGGGGGUAAAGGCCCACCAAGCCAACGAUCUGUAGCUGGUCUGGGAGGACGACCAGCUACACUGGAACUGAGACACGGUCGAGACUCCUACGGGAGGCAGCAGUGGGGAAUUUUGGACAAUGGGCGAAAGCCUGAUCCAGCCAUUCCGCGUGCAGGAUGAAGGCCCUCGGGUUGUAAACUGCUUUUGUACAGAACGAAAAGGUUUCUACUAAUACUAGGAGCUCAUGACGGUACUGUAAGAAUAAGCACCGGCUAACUACGUGCCAGCCGCCGCAGUAA
rnacentral:rRNA from 1 species